AUUGAACGCUGGCGGCAGGCCUAACACAUGCAAGUCGAACGAGUGGCGGACGGGUGAGUCAUGUCUAGGAAACUGCCUGAUGGAGGGGGAUAACUACUGGAAACGGUAGCUAAUACCGCAUACCAUCGGAUGUGCCCAGAUGGGAUUGGCUUGUUGGUGGGGUAACGGCUCACCAAGGCGACGAUCCCUAGCUGGUCUGAGAGGAUGACCAGCCACACUGGAACUGAGACACGGUCCAGACUCAUACGGGAGGCAGCAGUGGGGAAUAUUGCACAAGGGGCGCAAGCCUGAUGCAGCCAUGCCGCGUGUAUGAAGAAGGCCUUCGGGUUGAAAAGUACUUUCAGCGGGGAGGCGUUACCCGCAGAAGAAGCACCGGCUAACUCCGUGCCAGCAGCCGCGGUAAUAC
rnacentral:rRNA from 1 species